GACGAACGCUGGCGGCGUGCUUAACACAUGCAAGUCGAACGAGGAUUGCAGCAAUGUAAUCUUAGUGGCGGACGGGUGAGUAACGCGUGGGCAACCUGCCUUAUACAGGGGGAUAACAGUGGGAAACUACUGCUAAUACCGCAUAACGUCAUAAGAAGACAUCUUCGUAUGACCAAAGGAGAAAUCCGGUAUAAGAUGGGCCCGCGUCCGAUUAGCUAGUUGGUGAGGUAGAGGCCCACCAAGGCGACGAUCGGUAGCCGAACUGAGAGGUUGAACGGCCACAUUGGGACUGAGAUACGGCCCAGACUCCUACGGGAGGCAGCAGUGGGGAAUAUUGCGCAAUGGGGGGAACCCUGACGCAGCAACGCCGCGUGAAGGAUGAAGGUUUUCGGAUCGUAAACUUCUUUGACAGGGGACGAAAGAAUGACGGUACCCUGAAAACAAGCCACGGCUAACUACGUGCCAGCAGCCGCGGUAAUACGUAGGUGGCGAGCGUUGUCCGGAAUUACUGGGUGUAAAGGGCGUGUAGGUGGGAAUGCAAGUCAGAUGUGAAAUCCCAUGGCUUAACUGUGGGGCUGCAUCUGAAACUGCGUUUCUUGAGUGCUGGAGAGGGAAGCGGAAUUCCAAGUGUAGCGGUGAAAUGCGUAGAUAUUUGGAGGAACACCAGUGGCGAAGGCGGCUUUCUGGACAGUAACUGACACUGAGGCGCGAAAGCGUGGGGAGCAAACAGGAUUAGAUACCCUGGUAGUCCACGCCGUAAACGAUGGAUACUAGGUGUAGGAGGUAUCGACCCCUUCUGUGCCGGAGUUAACACAAUAAGUAUCCCACCUGGGGAGUACGGCCGCAAGGUUGAAACUCAAAGGAAUUGACGGGGGCCCGCACAAGCAGUGGAGUAUGUGGUUUAAUUCGAAGCAACGCGAAGAACCUUACCAGGGCUUGACAUAAUACCGGAUACUGUGGAAACGCAGUAGACCUUCGGGACGGUAUAACAGGUGGUGCAUGGUUGUCGUCAGCUCGUGUCGUGAGAUGUUGGGUUAAGUCCCGCAACGAGCGCAACCCUUGUUGCUAGUUGCCAGCAAGAAAGAUGGGCACUCUAGCGAGACUGCCGGUGACAAAUCGGAGGAAGGUGGGGACGACGUCAAAUCAUCAUGCCCCUUAUGUCCUGGGCUACACACGUACUACAAUGGCUACUACAACAGGAAGCAAAUUCGCAAGGAAGAGCCAAUCCUCAAAAAGUAGUCUCAGUUCAGAUUGUGGGCUGCAACCCGCCCACAUGAAGUCGGAAUUGCUAGUAAUGGCAGGUCAGCAUACUGCCGUGAAUACGUUCCCGGGCCUUGUACACACCGCCCGUCACACCAUGAGAGUCUGUAACACCCGAAGUCAGUAGUUUAACCUUAACGGGGGAACGCUGCCGAAGGUGGGACAGAUGAUUGGGGUG
rnacentral:rRNA from 1 species